AACCACCAUACCACAUUUGCUGUCAUCAUGACCCUACGUUUUCUCUCUCACAUUUAGCUCUCACUUUUUCUCAUCCUUUGACAUUGUGUAGUCAGGGUAUGGUGACUCUGGUGAGAUCACAAACCUUCCAACUAAGAAAUAUAUCGAGGGAGAUAUUUCCAAGUUUUUCCAACGAGUGAAUGUGAGUUUUAGGCCAUUUUCUUACCGAUCUCAACGUCAAUGUCGCUCCAUUUUGGACAUAGUGAAAAAGAGUACGACCCGAGCUUCGAGGCUUUUCCAUACCAGUGAUCCUGCUUCUUCUAUUUAUCUAGGCAAUUUUGUUCAGGAGUAUGAGGGCAAGACAUGUGAUGAACAAUCCCCUUAUCCCAAAGAAAGGCUUGAAAGGAUUUCUCUAUAUACUCCCAUCCCCUAUCUGUAUGUAAUAUUUUAACAGAUACAUCAAAUUGAUUGACAAUGUAUUGAUAAAAUGAGACAAAGGUAGAGUAAACGUCACUUUUAUUACUUAUUGGGAAAAUCCAAUUGUGUUUACUAC